rnacentral:lncRNA from 1 species
GGUCAAAUACCUAGUCAAAGAUUAUCCAAACAAGGCAAGACAAGGAGCACUCAACUCUUGGGCGUCCCCUCCUUUUACUACUAUGGACCAUUAGCAAAGGGCACAUAUUAUGUACCAUAAAAGUCAUAAAAAUAUCAAAAAAAAUUUGAAUAAAAUCAGUGCCAUAAGAAAAGAGUUUUGGUUUCCUAAAACUCUAUCUCACAGAAUUUGAAAUCCAAACUAAUUCCUACUUUGACUUGAUCCACAACCACAUUCCAUGUAAGAGAGAAAGAGAGGAAAGUUUUAGACAUGCAUGUAGACCUG